rnacentral:rRNA from 1 species
CACGUAGGCACCAAGCGUUGUCCGGAUUUAUUGGGCGUAAAGAGCUCGUAGGCGGUUCAGUAAGUCGGGUGUGAAAACUUUGGGCUUAACCCAAAGCGUGCAUCCGAUACUGCUGUGACUUGAGUUCGGUAGGGGAGUGGGGAAUUCCUAGUGUAGCGGUGAAAUGCGCAGAUAUUAGGAGGAACACCGGUGGCGAAGGCGCCACUCUGGGCCGAAACUGACGCUGAGGAGCGAAAGCAUGGGUAGCAAACAGG